GGUUGAUCCUGCCAGUUGUCAUAUGCUUGUUUCAAGGACUAAGCCAUGCAAAUGUCAGAGUACUCGUGUCUUGAUACGAGGGGUCUGUGUACGGCUCAUUAAACGGUUUAUAGUCUCCCCAACAAAGAGGGCAGUCAUGCCUUCCUAUGGGAUAUCUUUGCGAAACGCAAAGCUAAUACCUGUAAGAAAAAUCGCUUGCUGUCAACCACCUAGGGGCAACCCGAAAGUGUGGCAGGCGAUGUGUUUGGCCGAAACAAAAAUAGACGUUCGAACAGAACAGCUGUAAUUGUUG
rnacentral:rRNA from 1 species